GACGAACGCUGGCGGCGUGCUUAACACAUGCAAGUCGAACGAGGUGCUUGCACCUAGUGGCGAACGGGUGAGUAACACGUGAGCAACCUGCCCUUGGCUCUGGGAUAGCCUCCGGAAACGGGGAUUAAUACCGGACAUGACCGGGGACCGCAUGGUCCCGGGUGGAAAGUUUUUCGGCCAGGGAUGGGCUCGCGGCCUAUCAGCUUGUUGGGGGGGUAACGGCCCACCAAGGCGACGACGGGUAGCCGGCCUGAGAGGGCGACCGGCCACACUGGGACUGAGACACGGCCCAGACUCCUACGGGAGGCAGCAGUGGGGAAUAUUGCGCAAUGGGGGAAACCCUGACGCAGCGACGCCGCGUGCGGGAUGAAGGCCUUCGGGUUGUAAACCGCUUUCACCGGGGACGAAGCGAGAGUGACGGUACCCGGGGAAGAAGCGCCGGCUAACUACGUGCCAGCAGCCGCGGUAAAAC
rnacentral:rRNA from 1 species